GACGAACGCUGGCGGCGUGCCUAAUACAUGCAAGUCGAACGAGAGCGCCCGGUGCUUGCACUGGUCAAUCUAGUGGCGAACGGGUGAGUAACACGUGGGUAACCUGCCCAUCAGAGGGGGAUAACAUUCGGAAACGGAUGCUAAAACCGCAUAGGUCUUCGAACCGCAUGGUUUGAAGAGGAGAAGAGGCGCAAGCUUCUGCUGAUGGAUGGACCCGCGGUGCAUUAGCUAGUUGGUGAGGUAACGGCUCACCAAGGCCGUGAUGCAUAGCCGACCUGAGAGGGUGAUCGGCCACAUUGGGACUGAGACACGGCCCAAACUCCUACGGGAGGCAGCAGUAGGGAAUCUUCCGCAAUGGACGCAAGUCUGACGGAGCAACGCCGCGUAAGUGAAGAAGGUUUUCGGAUCGUAAAACUCUGUUGUUAGAGAAGAAUAAGUGCUAGAGUAACUGUUAGCGCCUUGACGGUAUCUAACCAGAAAGCCACGGCUAACUACGUG
rnacentral:rRNA from 1 species